UUUUAAAGGGAGUUACGCACCUUUGAAGUUGGAGGUGAGAGAGUGAGAGACAGCAGACAACGAGACAGUCGUGUUGUCUGUCGCCUCGCACUUACUCACCUCCAACUUCAAAGGCGCAUAACUCGCUUCAAAA
rnacentral:sRNA from 13 species